CCCUCCCUUUUGACUGUCUGGGGAAGGAAAGCUCAUAAUCUCAGCUAUUAACAAACAAAGAGAUACAUAUUGAAAAAGAUCGGCAUGGGAGAUGGCAAUACUAGCAGUAGAGGCGGCAAUUCCAAUAGCAGCAAUCGGCCAGAGUGGUUGCAACACUACGAUUUGAUCGGAAAAAUUGGGGAAGGAACUUACGGCUUGGUUUUCUUGGCUAAGAUCAAAGCUAACCGCUCCAAAUCUAUUGCUAUCAAGAAGUUUAAGCAAUCCAAGGACGGCGACGGCGUUUCUCCCACCGCCAUUCGUGAAAUCAUGUUGCUUCGGGAGAUUACACAUGAGAAUGUUGUAAAGCUUGUCAAUGUUCAUAUCAACCAAGCUGAUAUGUCCCUUUACCUCGCUUUUGACUAUGCCGAGCAUGACCUUUAUGAAAUUAUCAGACAUCAUAGAGACAAGGUCAAUCAGGCUAUCAAUCAGUACACAGUGAAGUCCCUUUUAUGGCAACUGCUUAAUGGUCUCAAUUAUCUUCACAGUAAUUGGAUUAUACACCGAGACCUAAAGCCAUCAAAUAUCUUGGUGAUGGGUGACGGAGAGGAACAUGGAGUUAUUAAAAUCGCUGAUUUUGGCCUUGCAAGAAUUUAUCAGGCUCCAUUGAAACCAUUAGCUGAGAAUGGGGUUGUAGUGACCAUCUGGUAUCGUGCACCAGAGUUACUCCUUGGGGCAAAACACUACACAAGUGCAGUUGAUAUGUGGGCUGUUGGCUGUAUAUUUGCUGAGCUUCUUACUCUAAAGCCACUAUUUCAAGGGCAAGAAGUGAAAGGAACACCAAAUCCGUUCCAGCUUGACCAACUUGACAAGAUAUUUAAGGUUCUCGGUCAUCCCACCCCAGAAAAGUGGCCAACACUGGUAAACCUUCCACAUUGGCAAUCUGACGUGCAGCGUAUUCAAGGACAUAAGUAUGACAAUCCUGCACUUUAUAGUGUUUUGCACCUGACGCCCAAAAGUCCUGCAUAUGACCUCCUUUCUAAGAUGCUUGAAUAUGAUCCUCGCAAAAGAAUAACAGCAGCGCAAGCUCUCGAGCAUGAGUACUUUCGGAUGGAACCUCUACCUGGCCGCAAUGCACUUGUUCCACCACAGCCUGGAGAAAAAAUUGUGAACUAUCCAACUCGACCUGUGGACACGACUACAGACUUUGAAGGAACAAUUAGUCUUCAACCUCCUCAGCCAGUAUCAUCAGGAAAUGCAGCAUCUGGUGGCAUGCAAGGUCCCCAUGUAAUGCCGAAUAGAUCUGUGCCCCGACAGAUGCCAAUGGUCAACAUGCAAAGGAUGCCUCAGGGCAUGUCUGCUUACAAUCUUGCUUCUCAAGCUGGCAUGGGUGCUGGAAUGAACCCGGGAAACAUGCCCAUGCAGCGUGGUGUUGCGUCUCAGGCACAUCAGCAGCAGAUGAGAAGGAAAGAUCCAGGAAUGGGGAUGCCUGGAUACCCUCCGCAACAGAAAUCUAGACGUUUCUGAAAGUCUUUUCAGCGACAAUCAUGCCCAUACACAACUCUGUGUCUCUAGUCGUGAAACUAGCAGGCAAGUGGGAGUAGCUGCCUCCAUAAGGCGGGUUCAAGAAGAUUAUGUUUCUGAAGUUAACUUCAGUCUGACUGUUGGUGGACAAGUUUUCCCACCAUUUAUGAAGCAGAGAGAGUCAAUUGGCACUAUUAUUAUUUCGGGUUGCGGAUGUGACUCUUAUGGAUCAGAUAUUGUUCCAUAUCAGUUUUCACUAACGACAUCAGUGAUGGUCUGCUCUGACAUGACUGCUACCUAUCUAUAUGAACCGCAUAACCCAUCUAUAGAGUUGUAUAUAUGUAUAUAUGUGUACACCAACCAAUUAUCAAUGUAUCAGGCAAGUCAUCUUAUUGUCUUCUUCUAAAGCCUCAUAUGACCUUUAUUGCUAA